rnacentral:tRNA from 1 species
CAAAAUGUAGCUUAAUUAAAGCAUCUCGCUUACACCGAGAAAAUAUCUGUGGGAUUCAGAUCAUUUUGA